ensembl:lncRNA
CAGUGUUAUUGCAAAUGACAUUGUUUCUCUGUGUUGAGUGAUCCAUGAAAAGCUUGUGCUGCCCUGCCACAACCUUUUACCCACAAACCCUGGGAGCACAGGGUCAAAGGUCAGACCAAUGUUUUUUUAUUUAUUUUUUUUUGAGUGGGGUUGAUUGUCAAAUUAUUCAAAAUAUCUGUUAGGUGAGUAAAUUAGUUAAACGAGUGAAAAAAAAAAUCAUCAUUCACAAGCUUCAAACAUUAUAGAUAAUUAUUACCAAAUGUACUUUAAAAUUGAGUAUUCUUUCAUCUUCCAAAACAUCUGCAUAGCGAUGCUCAGCAAUGUCAGGUUUCUGCUCAAAGGCACCCUUCGUCAUCUUUGAUGUCAGCGACACGAGCAGCCUUCCCAGAGCUCCUACUGUCCCUAAAUCAGCAAACAUUUACCCAUAACACAUGAUCAAGAUGGGGCAGAACUGAAUACAGAUGAGUCCAUGCAGGAGCUGUAACUCAAUCCCCAACCAUCUGACCCUUGAACUAAAAAAAAAAAAAAAAACUAUCAGCAAAAUCAAUUCAGCUAAUUAUGAGUCCAAUACAGGGAGAUUAUUUGCUCUUUAUUGAUGAGUUUGCUUUUAAAACACGUGAAUGUCACACCUAAUUUAUCUUUUCACAAAAUUAAUGCUAUUCUAUUCACAAUGUCUGAGCCACCUUGCCACCUUGUAAGGUAAUGGUAUAGGGAUCUUUCCAAAAUCAUAUGUGAUAAUAUUUUAUUUAAUACUUUUAUUAUUAUUUUGUAAUCAGUUAUGUGCUUUAGGGUGUUUUUUAUUUUUUAUUUUAAGGUUAUACAUUUUAUUUUAAUGUUUAUUGCAUUAUUUUAGUGUAGUUUGUGUUACCCUAAUGGCACCUUUUUAUCAUUGUGGGUGGAAUAAAGGAAUUCUCUGUAUCUACAGGCCCACAUUAUUCGGAUCUUAAACCAGCUGUGGCCUGUAAUGUCAGAGAUGGUGGUACUUGGAAAAUUAAGAUGCUUCGCAAACACAGACAUACAAAUGUAUCCUGUGAAUGAAGCCAUCACUCCACAGGCUUUUGGAAUACCGCAGGCUUGCCGUAAGGAAUUCAUGAACCCUGUGUGCCGGAUUCACCGCGGGAGAAAAUAACACAAAAACACUGAACACAACUACUGAUGAUACAACCACAAAUUCCUCAAAUACUCAGAUCUCAGCUGGAGCAGAAGCAACAUUAUACGGUUAUGAUAAUGCUGCUUGAAAUGAUAUGUGCUUUCAUUCCAGGUCUCAUAAAUCAUCUUUUUGUCUUUGUCCUGUAGAGGACACGGUCAUCGUGUGUCCUGCGUCCACUGGGAAAGUGUAAGAUGCAUUAGUUAGUUUGAGUCAGGACGUGUGCACUCAUAUCUGCAAACAUGUGCACUUUCUGAGAUCAGGAGUGGACUGACCUACAGCAGAGUCUGUAUUAUGGGUUGCACAUCUUAAUUCUACCACUAUACGAUGCUAUAGGUCUGCAUACAUUGUUCUUGUCAGUUCCACAAAAUUAAUGUUUUCAAAACUGUUCACCAUCAUAUGCAUAUACUCUAUAUAUGGUAUUAUACUCAACUUUACCUGAAGAAAGUGCAGCUAAAGCACUUUCAAUUCACUAAGCAUAUUACAUAACUAUUAUUGGUUUUGUGUUAAAGCACCAGCUUUUGACAGACAAUGUGAUGCUGUAAUGAUGAAAUGAGCAGUAAGCAAUACUAAACAAAGGAGAUGAAUAUAAAACAUCUGGUAACAUUUUUGGUAAAAUAUGCAAAAUCAGAGCCAAGUAGCAAAACUGUGGCCCAAUUUAGUCCAGACAUCUUCCAAAAGACUAGAAGGAACAUAAAUGACUGAGGCAACCAUACUAAUUUCUACCAACAAGACCAUCUAGACCUUGCCCAUCAGGCCAGACUCACUCAUUUGUGGCAUUCAGGUCAUAU